UACGUAGGUGACAAGCGUUGUCCGGAUUUACUGGGCGUAAAGAGCGCGCAGGCGGUCGAUCAAGUCGAGUGUGAAAGCCCCCGGCUCAACUGGGGAGGGUCAUUCGAUACUGAUCGACUCGAAGGCAGGAGAGGGUAGUGGAAUUCCCGGUGUAGUGGUGAAAUGCGUAGAUAUCGGGAGGAACACCAGUGGCGAAGGCGGCUACCUGGACAAUUGCUGACGCUCAGGCACGAAAGCGUGGGGAGCAAAAGGG
rnacentral:rRNA from 1 species